rnacentral:rRNA from 1 species
UAGUAUGGGGAUCUGCCCGAUAGAGGGGGAUAACUACUGGAAACGGUAGCUAAUACCGCAUAAUGUCGCAAGACCAAAGUGGGGGACCUUCGGGCCUCAUGCCAUCAGAUGUGCCCAGAUGGGAUUAGCUAGUAGGUGGGGUAAUGGCUCACCUAGGCGACGAUCCCUAGCUGGUCUGAGAGGAUGACCAGCCACACUGGAACUGAGACACGGUCCAG